AUACAGAAGCCUCAAGCGUUACCCGGAUUCACUGGGCGUAAAGGGUUCGUAGGCGGUUAUUUUAGUCGGGUGUUAAAUCCUGAGGCUCAACCUCAGGCUCGCAUUCGAAACGGUAUAACUAGAAGAAGUGAGAGGUGAACAGAACUCAUGGUGUAGGGGUGAAAUCCGUUGAUAUCAUGGGGAAUACCAAAUGUGAAGGCAGUUCACUGGCACUUUCUUGACGCUGAGGAACGAAAGCGUGGGUAGCGAACGGGAUUAGAAACCCCAGUAGUCC
rnacentral:rRNA from 1 species